AUCUGGUUAAAAUAUUGCCAGCAUGCAACCAAAACUCGCAGCAUGAAAAUGGAAGGACUAAUCUAAAAGAGAACGUCAAAAUGUGUAGCAGUAAUGGUUGAUUGUGACUGAGUAGGUUAUGACGUGAAAAGACGUGACAUUAUAAAUUACCUGUGUUGAAAGCAAUGUGAUUUGAAUGUGGCCCAGUUAUGAAUUAAAACUUUAAACAAUUAUGACUGUAUUUAUAAAUGUUUUGGCAUGUAGUUUGGGUCCUAAACGUUCAAUUCUAUCCUGGGCCCUUGGAUUCCUGUCAGCGUUCCUGCCCUAAGGUGUAAUAAACAAACGGAGUGCACUUAUUUCUGAAGCAUAUAUGUCUACAUCAAAUAAAUAUAAUACCCAUGAAAGUAUAAAUCAUGUAUUACUCUCGAGCUUCACAUACAAUCAUGCACAAUCAGAGCAUGCCUGAUAUACCACUCUGGAGGAUUUACAUACAGCAGAUACCCUAACCUAGGGACCUAAGGACCAUGCACAAGGCCCUUCAACACAUCAAAACAUGUAGCCUCUUUUAUGUUUUAUACUUUUGUCCAUGUACAGAAAAUACAAAAAUUUAAAUCAGUAAAAAUUAUCACAGACAGGCAACACAAAAAUAAAAAUCAGUUAAGGUAAAAUAACCACAGACAAGAAACAAACAGUCACAGGCAACACAAAAAUAAUCUGUUUAGGUAAAACACAAAAUAAAAAUCUGUUAUUCUCCUAAUAGCACAGAACUUGAAUUACCCAAAGCAGUUACAAGUAAUGCAGAAAAACACAAUAUAAUUAAUGUUUAAAAUGGACAAAGGGGACAAGAGUCCACAGUUUAAGUUUGGUCUGAAGACUAUUUCAUAACAGGAAAAGGCAGUCAUACCCAAGUCUGUGAAGACCGCACAGGCCUCAAGUGUAAUCCUGGCUGUAUCUGGUUUUAUGAGUUAUAUAUGUUGAUAAGUGAUGAUAAAUAGGAAGAUAGUUAAUGUAGAAGUGCUUUAUAGACAAACAUGAUGUCAUGUUGCCCACAUUUUGAUCUAAACUACAGUGGUGAUUUUUGUAGCUUACACACUUACACACAUGAAUAACGUAAUCAACCUAUCAAAGUCUUUCAUUUGGAUCAGGUGUGUGCGUGCUUGGGCAAAAACAAAAACGUGCACCCCUUUGGGUCCCGAGGACCAGGAUUGGGAAACACUGCACUAGACCGUCAGAACUUUUAUAGAUUUAUUUGAGGGUGUAUUAAAUGCGGUGACUAAGGUAAUGAGUCAUUGGCCUUCGUAUUAUGAAGCUCACAAUCAGUCCGCCAGACUCGCCUUGAAAUAAAUAGUCUGAACCUUUGCAAAGCUCCGCCCCCUUGGUUACUGUAGCUACAACUGUAUAGUAAUGUCCUUGUCUCUGUACAAGCUACGAAACACGUCAAUCAUUUUAAAAUUAGUUUAGCGCCAAAACAUUAAGGAUGUCAUGAUCACAUUCAUUAGCCUACCAGUUGCCGUUAACGUUCAAUGUAAACAUUACAUAAUCUUGAAUGCACCCUACUAGGCUGGCUGGCAAGUGCCAAAAAUCUUUAAGAUCCACCCAUGAUAGUACAUAACCGACAUACAAUAAGCUUGCACAAUCUAUCUUUUAUUUGUGUUGGACAAACAUGUUCUGUCUCUAUAGAGGAAGCCUAACUUGAUCUUCAGUCUUUUACAGAGUUCAUCAACAUGUAUUUUAAAAGGCAGUUUAUCAUCCAGCCAAAUCCGUAAGUAUAUAUAUUUCCUUUUAAUUUGUGUCACACAUCAGAUCAGUCUUCUCUGAAGUGUCCACUAGAAAGUUUUAGCUACCUUUCUUACCUUCCAGUGAAGAAAAAAAAAGACUGAUCAGUUUGUUAUUACAUCAUGUCUGGUCAGUGGGGCAAGAUGAAUUCCACGAGUUGCCACUUGUCCGUACAUAAAUAAUAUUUUAUCUCAAACAUACCUUUCAAUAAAAAACAGUGGUGGGCUAGCUGAAAGGGUGUAUUUAAUGGCAAAACGCUGUUGUUUUCCAGUGCAUUUACAUUUUGAACUUUAGCCUAGAAAAGGCUGAUAAUAGGGAGUGACCAGUAGGGAAUGUCAGGUGGACAUAGAGAGUGAUAAUUCAAUGUUGAAGUGUUUUCAAACUUUUGCCUAUUAGCAGAGAUGUGGACGAGUCACAUGACUUGGAUAUUCCUAUUUUGACCUCAAAGCCAUCCGCAGUUGGUGCUUGACUUGAGCAGAGCUGUCUGCACAGCUUCCGUCCCACAACCCCAUUCUCCUUCCAAAAAUCCUUCGAACAAGAAGGACAACCCGCGGUGGCUCCCCAAACUCUUUUCCAACUGUCCCAGAGAUGCUGGGUGUGUGUGAAUCCACCUGCUGACAUAUUGUACAGUAGCAUAGUAAGUUGUCAUUAUUAUGUUGUUGCCAGUCGUGUUUCUACCAGAAUACAUUUGAAUAGUUAAAUUAACAAACAACAUCUGUGCUCAGCAUAAAUUACAGCUCUCCACUGAUUAACGCAUGUAGAUAAACAUCUCGAACCACCUGACCUACCACAUGCAACUGCCUAUUAUUUAAGUACCCUACCUUAUGCAUAAGGUGGAAUUUGGGAAUAAUUGAAUAAAGUAUACAAGUAUUUGGUUGUCGCUCACCAGCCAUCAGGAAAGCUAAUGUUUUCAGGCCCCCACACGAACCCCAUUCUAAUGACAUGAAAAAUGUUGCCUGAGCCUAGAAGUAAUUUAGGGCCACAUUUAAAAAUAUUCCAAAAUUGCAAUUAAUCGGGAUUAACUACUGAUGACAGCACUAAUUUACAUAUAAGACAGGGUUAGAGAGAGAGAUAUGACAGGUAGAGAAAGAGAGAAGUCAGGGUUAGAGAGAGAGACAAGACAGGUAGAGAAACAGAGAGAAGACAGGGUUAGAGAGAGACAAGACAGGUAGAGAAACAGAGAGAAGACAGGGUAAGAGAGAGUGUGUGUAAUAAGAGAGAGUGUGUGUAAUAAGAGAGAGUGUGUGUAAUAAGAGAGAGUGCAAGGGACAAAGAUCAAAAGAGAGAAAGGGAGAGGUAUUGAUCCACACUAAGUGUAACACUGAGGCUUUUACCACAGCAGACGAACACUAAUGAGAGACCAAAGAAUGGCAGAACUGUGGCUAGCCUGCAUUGAUUUUGAGUGUGUUUGUGUGUGUGUGUGAGAGAGAGAGGGAGACCACACACACACCACUAUUCAUCUUGUGACAGCUAAGUUUUUUGAAACUAUUUUAAGUGGGAGCAAUGGUUACUGUUUCUCCUCACACCUCACUGUGAGCAGCUCCUAACAAACUCCUCUUCUGUUUCUCCUCACUCCUCACUGUGGACAGCUCCCAACAAACUCCUCUUCUGUUUCUCCUCACGCCUCACUGUGGGCAGCUCCUAACAAACUCCUCUUCUGUUUCUCCUCACGCCUCACUGUGGGCAGCUCCUAACAAACUCCUCUUCUGUUUCUCCUCACGCCUCACUGUGAGCAGCUCCCAACAAACUCCUCUUCUGUUUCUCCUCACGCCUCACUGUGGGCAGCUCCCAACAAACUCCUCUUCUGUUUCUCCUCACGCCUCACUGUGGGCAGCUCCCAACAAACUCCUCUUCUGUUUUAACAAGGCAUUACAGCUGGAACACUGACUUCAUCUGCCCCAUAGAACUCAGCGUGGGGCGUGUUUGUGCCCUGCAGACUCACCCAUGUCUGUCAUCAUGUUUGUAUUCACAGCAAUUAGACUGUACAGUGAUUAGAGGGUAUCGUCCUUACUGUCGGCCCACACACACACAAACACGAGUCCGAACAGCUAGUGGCAGACCAGCCUUUAGCAUCUUCAGCAUGAAUAAUCUCUCAUUAGACCUCGCUGUCUCGUCCUGUCCUCCCC
ensembl:lncRNA